rnacentral:tRNA from 1 species
GCCGAAGUGGCGGAAUAGGCAGACGCAAGGGACUUAAAAUCCCUCGGAGUAACAUCCGUACCGGUUCGAGUCCGGUUUUCGGCA